UACGUAUGGUGCAAGCGUUAUCCGGAUUUACUGGGUGUAAAGGGAGCGCAGGCGGCACGGCAAGCCUGAUGUGAAAGCCCGCGGCCCAACCGCGGGACUGCAUUGGGAACUACCGGGCUGGAGUGCCGGAGAGGUAGGCGGAAUUCCUGGUGUAGCGGUGAAAUGCGUAGAUAUUAGGAGGAACACCAGUGGCGAAGGCGGCCUACUGGACGGCGACUGACGCUGAGGCUCGAAAGCGUGGGGAGCAAACAGG
rnacentral:rRNA from 1 species